rnacentral:misc_RNA from 1 species
AACGCACAUUGCGCCCCUUGGUAUUCCGGGGGGCAUGCCUGUUCGAGCGUCAUUUCAACCCUCACGCGUAGCGUGGUCUUGGGCUCUGCCGGCAACGGCUUGCCUUAAAAUCAGUGGCGGUGCCAUCGAGCUCUACGCGUAGUAAUAAACCCCUCGCGUGUGAGUCUCGGCGGUCGCUGGCCAGCAACCCCCAAUUUUUAUGGUUGACCUCGAAUCAGGUAGGGAUACCCGCUGAACUUAA